rnacentral:rRNA from 1 species
ACUCGCGAAACUGCGAAUGGCUCAUUAAAUCAGUUAUUGUUCCUUUGGCAGUCCCUUUUUACUUGGGUAACUGUGGCAAUUCUAGAGCUAAUACAUGCCAAAAGCCCCGACUUCGGUUGUGGGUGGACUUGUUAGAUAAAGAAUCAAUGCCCUUCGGGGCUAGUGGGUGAAUCAUGACAAUUACGCGGAUCGCAUGGCCUUGUGCCGGCGAUACCCCAUUCAAAUUUCUGCCCUAUCAACUUUAGAUGGUAGCGUCUUGGGCUACUAUGGUUUCGACGGGUAACGGGGAAUUAGGGUUCUAUUCCGGAGAGGGAGCCUGAGAAACGGCUACCACAUCCAAGGAGGGCAGCAGGCGCGCAAAUUACCCAAUCCCGACUCGGGGAGGUAGUGACAAUAAAUACUGAUACAGGGCUCUUUUGGGUCUUGUAAUUGGAAUGAGUACAAUUUAAAUCUCUUAACGAGGAACAAUUGGAGGGCAAGUCUGGUGCCAGCAGCCGCGGUAAUUCCAGCUCCAAUAGCGUAUAUUAAAGUUGUUGCAGUUAAAAAGCUCGUAGUUGAACCUUGGGCCUGGCUGGUCGGUCCGCCUCACCGCGUGUAUUGAUCCGGCCGGGUCCUUCCUUCUGGGGAACCGCAUGCCCUUCACUGGGUGUGUCGGGGAACUAGGACGUUUACUUUGAAAAAAUUAGAGUGUUCAAAGCAGGCCUAUGCUCGAAUACAUUAGCAUGGAAUAAUGAAAUAGGACGUGUGGUUCUAUUUUGUUGGUUUCUAGGACCGCCGUAAUGAUUAAUAGGGACAGUCGGGGGCAUCAGUAUUUAAUCGUUAGAGGUGAAAUUCUUGGAUCGAUUAAAGACUAACUACUGCGAAAGCAUUUGCCAAGGAU